GUCUACGGCCAUACCACCCUGAACACGCCCGAUCUCGUCUGAUCUCGGAAGCUAAGCAGGGUCGGGCCUGGUUAGUACUUGGAUGGGAGAACCACAUCACAGUUAACC
rnacentral:rRNA from 1 species